GAUGAACGCUAGCGAUAGGCUUAACACAUGCAAGUCGAGGGACCGGCGCACGGGUGCGUAACGCGUAUGCAACCUGCCUGUAAUUAGGGAAUAACCCGGUGAAAGUCGGACUAAUACCCUAUAAUUACAGAUGGGCAUGCGUCCCAUUAGCUUGUUGGUAAGGUAACGGCUUACCAAGGCAACGAUGGGUAGGGGGACUGAGAGGUUGACCCACCACACUGGGACUGAGGCACAGACCACGCUCGUACGCGAGGGAGCGGUGAGGAAUGUUGGUCAAUGGGCGCGGGCCUGAACCCGCCAAGUGGCGUGAAGGACGACGGUUUAGGGAUGGUAUACUUCUUUUGUAGAGAAAUAUGUACUCUACGAAUAAGUAUCGGCUAACUCCGUGCCAGCAGCCGCGGUAAUAC
rnacentral:rRNA from 1 species